AGAAUUUUUCUCAAUGGGCGCAAGCCUGAAGGAGCGACGCCGCGUGGGGGAUGAAGGGUUUCGAUCCGUAAACCCCUGUCAUUUGUGAACAAUGGUUACUAUUUAAAAGAUGGUAACUUGAUAGUAAUGAAAGAGGAAGGGACGGCUAACUCUGUGCCAGCAGCCGCGGUAAUACAGAGGUCCCAAGCGUUGUUCGGAUUCACUGGGCGUAAAGGGUGCGUAGGUGGCUGGGAAAGUUUGAUGUGAAAGCUCAGGGCUCAACCCUGAAAUGGCAUUGAAUACUACUUAGCUGGAGGUUUGGAGGGGGGACUGGAAUUCUCGGUGUAGCAGUGAAAUGCGUAGAUAUCGAGAGGAACACCAGUGGCGAAGGCGAGUCCCUGGACAACACCUGACACUGAGGCACGAAAGCUAGGGGAGCAAA
rnacentral:rRNA from 1 species